ACUCGCAGUAGCUGUAGUUUAUUCGUUCAUUCGGGCGCGGACGCACGAGUUCGCCAUCCAAUCGUCCUCGUUUCGUCCUCGUUGUCGUAGCACCUCGACUGAAACCUCGUAAAGCCAGAAACGACCAAUUAAACGAAACGAGGAGCGCACUGAUGCAUUCUCUGGCUGGUUGCCUGCCUGCCGGCAUUACCUACAGGUUAUACGACUCGCGGAAUUACCCUCAAAUUACACAGUUGGUACCGAUGUGUGCACUUCGCCUUUCCUCUCCUUUCCUCUUCCUCUCAUGUCCUCUCUUCCCUUUUCCGUAUACUUACGCGUUGGAAUAACAACCGCUUCGUUUGCACGAAGAAGAGAAAGAGGAAGGGAAGAAGAAACAGGACGACGGUGAAAACAAGACGAUGAACGCUGCAAAGGGUAUACUUGUCGGUCGAUUCCUGAUGAGUGAUCAGCCACGAAGAAAGUGACGGGUACAAGAGCAUUCGCACACUUCCGAGCACCUAUUCUUCGAUUUGACUGGUCGAUUUAACGCGAGAGUCGAACGUUCCAAGAAGUCAUAAAGCAUGUUGGGCAUGCUUCAAGAGUCUUGACUUUGGUCGUUUCUCUUCGUCGUGAAGAGACUAAGAAGGGCGGUGCAAUGACGAAACGACAACGACAUGUUGGGAAACGAUCAUUCAGGCAUAUCGCCAGAACUCGUUGUCGAUUAGUUAUCGUAGGAGAAUCGAUCGACUCGAUGACAACGCGUACGUGCAAAUUACGAUCAACGUAUCGGGAAAGAGUACGAGUGAAGGAAGUCAUAAACAAAAAGCAAUGAGAGCACAUUAACAUGCAAAGCAAUGGUAGUUGGUUGACUUUAAUAGGAUCACCAAUAAAUCAUCAUCGUCGCCCCUAACGGACACAUAAACUCCGAUUCUCGUCGACUCUUCACCGAGUAACAAUUAAUUGUAGAUUUAAUGAUUCGUUGGUGAUAAAACGAAUCUCAUGUACGCGGCCAAUAGAAUUGGUUCCACGAAAGAGGAUAUCCGCAGUGAGAUGUACAUACUUACGUAUGUAUUACGUACAUAUUACAUUUAAAU